GCCAAGCCCGACGGCCACCGUGCAUCCUCUCGCUCCCAGCCGCCGCGCCUCCCCUCCCCCACCGCAUUGCCGCAUCCCCUCCAAAUGCCACCACGCGGCCGCCCCACUAUACAUCGCCGCCCCUCCUCUCUUCCCUUGUGCCCCUCGUCCAACUCGCCCCAUCAGAGUCCUCUCCCCUGUUGAAUCCGGCUAAGGAUUUAGAUCUCCCCUGCGCACCGAAGAAGCCGACCACUGCGAUGCUCCUCGCACAGCCUCGACCCCCUGACCAUCUCGGCCUCCGUGGCCCUCCAUUCAUCUCCCUUCCUCGAUCCAGCAGGCUGCAGGCCGUCCUCCCCGACGAGAUUCCACGGGCUGCAAGUCGUCCCUCCCUGCCGUGAGGUCGGCUUUCAACCAAACCGGGGCGGGAUGGAAGGGGGAAGGGUGCAGGUGGCUCCCCCUUCAUCCACUCAAUGCAGAGGUCUUCGAUGAGCACGGCGAAUUCGAGCGCAUCCGCUGGCAGGUGCAGCUCCAAUGAUCUGAAGGCUACAAGUGGCGUGCUGGGUUUUUUGUGUGGCUGGAGUCCACCGGCCAACGACACAAGGUCCACCGACGAGCAACGCUCGGUUCGUUGUGUGGUGGACCUCCUCGAGCGGGCGGGUGGACUGCCAGGACCAUGUCCCGCCGGCAACGAAGUUGUGCAGAGUUCAUCGGUGGCGCACAAUAGUCAGGCUCAGGGUGCACUGCAGUUUGCUGCGCGUGCGCGUGCAGUAAGCGAGUGCACAGGAAGCCGCCGCAUAUGCAUGUUCUGUUGAAGGUCAUUUUUUGUUCAAAUGCAGUUAUGCUGGCUGCUAGUGCCUAAUUUCACGUGUAUGCAUGUAUGUGUGUGACCAUAAAAACAAUGAACGGAGUAUGUGUCUAUGAGCAU